GUGGAGGCAGCAGUGGGGAAUUUUGCACAAUGGAGGAAACUCUGAUGCAGCAACGCCGCGUGAGUGAUGAAGGCCUUUGGGUUGUAAAGCUCUUUCAGCUUGGGGAGAAGGGUAUUAUGGCUAAUAUCCAUGAUAUUUGACGGUACCAAGAGAAGAAGCACCUGCUAACUUCGUGCCAGCAGCAGCGGUAAUACGAAGGGUGCAAGCGUUGUUCGGAAUUACUGGGCGUAAAGGGCGCGUAGGCUGGUUUGUAAGUCUAAUGUGAAAUCCCCGGGCUUAACCUGGGACGUGCAUUGGAGACUGCAGAUCUUGAAUGCUUGAGAGGGUGGUAGAAUUCCAGGAGUAGAAGUGAAAUUCGUAGAUAUCUGGAGGAACACCGGAGGCGAAGGCGGCCACCUGGCAAGACAUUGACGCUGAGGCGCGAAAGUGCGGGGAGCAAACAGGAUUAGAUACCCUAGUA
rnacentral:rRNA from 1 species